GACGAACGCUGGCGGCGUGCCUAAUACAUGCAAGUCGAACGCAGUGGGGACGGGUGAGUAACACGUGGGUAACCUCCCAUCAGAGGGGAUAACACUUGGAAACAGGUGCUAAACCGAUACUGAUGGAUGGACCCGCGGUGCAUUAGCUAGUUGGUGAGGUAAAGGCUCACCAAGGCGACGGUACAUAGCCGACCUGAGAGGGUGACCAGCCACACUGGAACUGAGACACGGGCCAGACUCCGACGGGAGGCAGCAGUGGGGAAUAUUGCAAAAUGGGCGAAAGCCUGAUGCAGCCAUGCCGCGUGUAUGAAGAAGGCCUUCGGGUUGUAAAGGACUUUCAGCGGGGAGGCGUUACCCGCAGAAGAAGCACCGACUAACUCCGUGCCAGCAGCCGCGGUAAUAC
rnacentral:rRNA from 1 species